GACGAACGCUGGCGGCGUGCUUAACACAUGCAAGUCGAGCGGUAAGGCCCUUUCGGGGGUACACGAGCGGCGAACGGGUGAGUAACACGUGGGUGACCUGCCCUCAGCUCUGGGAUAAGCCUGGGAAACCGGGUCUAAUACUGGAUAUGACUCCAUGACGCAUGUUGUGGGGUGGAAAGCCUUGUGCGGCUGAGGAUGGGCCCGCGGCCUAUCAGCUUGUUGGUGGGGUGANGGCCUACCAAGGCGACGACGGGUAGCCGGCCUGAGAGGGCGACCGGCCACACUGGGACUGAGACACGGCCCAGACUCCUACGGGAGGCAGCAGUGGGGAAUCUUGCGCAAAUGGGCGAAAGCCUGACGCAGCGACGCCGCGUGAGGGAUGACGGCCUCGGUG
rnacentral:rRNA from 1 species